CUGAGGUAGUAGUUUGUGCUGUUGGUUGGGUUGGCACGUUACCCGUUGAUGGAGAUGACUGCGCAAUCUACUGCCUUGCC
ensembl:miRNA gmo-let-7i-2 gmo-let-7i-2